rnacentral:rRNA from 1 species
AUGGCCGAGAUGAUCGCGAUAUCGCUCUCGGCGAAGGUCGCCGCAACGCUGUCGCGCAGUGCGGUCGUCGACAUCUCCUCUCUCGUGGCCGUCCGCUCGGGCAUCGCCGCCGCGGCGCGGGACCUGGAGCUCCUCCGCGCGUUCCUCCGGUUCGCCGACUCCCGCCGCGGCGCGGACGCGCUCGCCUCCGCCUGGGUGGACCAGAUCCGGGACGUCGGCUUCGAGCUGGAGGACGCCGCGGACGAGUACGCCUUCCUCUCCGGCGGCGGCUUCGUCCGCGCCUGCGCUAACUUCGGCGCGUGGCUCGCUCUGGCCAGACGGCUAGGCAAGGCGCGGGUGAGGCUCCGCGACCUGUCGGACGCCAAGGAGCGGUACGGCAUCCGACCGGCCGAGGCCUCCGCGUCCAGCUCCGCUCCCGACGGCGGCACCGCGGCCUUCGUAGGCCGGAAGCUAGCGGAAGCAGCACAUUUCUUGCAGGAUGGGGAGAUCGUCGGCUUCGCGGCGCACAGAAGGUCACUGAUGAAAUGGCUCACGGAGGACCUUGACUCCCGGCGGUCGCUGGUCGCCGUGUGCGGGAUGGGCGGCGUUGGGAAGACCACUCUGGUCACCAGCGUGUACAAGGAGGUCGCCGCAAGCCGCCACUUCGACUGCGCUGCGUGGGUGUCCGUCUCCAAGAACUUCACUACGGAUGACCUUCUAAGGAAAAUUGCCAAAGAACUCCACCGGGACGCUCGGGCCGGCAUGCCAGACAUUGACGAGAUGGACUACCGGUCGCUGGUGGAAGCUUUGCGUGGGCAUCUCGCCAAGAAGAGGUACUUGUUAUUGCUGGAUGAUGUCUGGCAUGCCGAUGCGUGGUAUGAAAUACGCAAUGCGUUGGUUGAUGAUGGAAAAGGGAGCAGGAUAAUCAUCACAACACGCAGUCAAGAUGUUGCCUCUCUGGCAGCAUCCACCAGGAUCAUCAUGUUGGAACCGCUCCCUCAGCAAGAAGCAUGGUCCCUGUUUUGUAACACCACAUUCAGGGAAGAUGCCAACGGGGAGUGCCCGCAUCAUCUGGAGCAUUGGGCUUUGAAGAUUCUGGGCAGAUGUUGUGGUCUACCAUUAGCAAUUGUAUCAGUUGGUAAUCUCCUUGCAUUGAAGGAUAGAACGGAAUUUGCUUGGAAGAAUGUCCAUGACAGCCUUGACUGGAAUGAAAGCAGUGUUCGUGGAAUCGGGCAAGUGUCAAGCAUACUGAAUCUGAGCAUUGACGAUCUGCCUUAUUACCUGAAGAGAUGUUUGCUGUAUUGCAGUAUAUACCCUGAAGAUUUCUUGAUCAAAAGGAAAAUUCUGAUCAGGUUGUGGAUUGCAGAAGGCUAUUUUGAGGAGAAGGGCCAGGGCACAAUGGAGGAGAUUGCGGAUGAUUACCUGCACCAGCUCGUGCAACGUAGCCUGUUGCAGGUCACGCUAAAAAAUGAGUUUGGACGAGCGAAACGGCUCUGCAUUCAUGACCUGAUCAGGGAUUUGAUUUUGCAAAGGUCAGCAAAGGAAGGGUUCACUGUAUUCUCAAAAUGUCAGCCAACAUUGGAGUCAAGCAAAAAAAUCCGUCAUCUUAUACUUGAUCGAUGGGCAAGUGAUCAUCGACCAGUUCCAAAGAUGACAUUGCUUCGCUCCUUCAGCGCAUUUAAGUCAGAUAUGGAUUCUUCAGUCUUGUCUGGCUUUAGGUUAUUAACCGUAUUAAACUUAUGGUUCGUUCAGAUAGAUAAACUGCCUAGCUCACUGACCAAACUUCUUAAUCUGCGGUAUCUUGGCAUCCGUUCCACUCUCAUUGAAGAGCUUCCACAGGAUUUGGGACAGUUACAUAACUUGCAAACUUUAGAUACAAAGUGGUCCAGGGUCCAGAGACUACCACCAAGCAUAAGAAAGCUCGAUAACCUGCGCCACCUGAUAGUGUUUAGACGCCGAUCUGCAGACUUCAGGUCUCCGUUCCCUGGUACAGCAAUUGAAUUUCCAGAUGGGCUGCAAAAUCUUACUUGCCUGCAGACUCUAAAAUACAUUGAGGCUGAUGAGAAGAUGGUCAAAUCCUUAAAAAGCUUAAAACACAUGAAGAGCUUAGAGCUAUCUGGUGUGCAUGAGAGUAAUCUUAUUCAUUUGCCCUCAUCCAUCUCCACAAUGAGCGGCCUUCUGUGCUUGGGGAUUGUCAGUCGGGACGGUAAUGUAAUAUUGGACCUGGAGCCAUUUUAUCCACCCCCACUAAAGCUACAGAGACUUUCAUUGACAGGGAUGUUAGCCAAAGGUAAGUUGCCUUCAUGGUUUGGGCACCUUGAUAACCUCAUGCAGUUGCGGUUGUGUUCAUCUGAACUCAGAGGAGAUUCAAUUGGAUUGAUCUCAUCACUUCCCAGGCUGUUACAUCUUACCCUAAAGAAUGCAUACACCGACAAGAUCUUAACCUUUCCAGAAGGCAGUUUUCCAGUUCUUAAGAAGCUGAGCUUACAUGAGAUGCCUAAUCUUUCUCACGUCGAGUUUGGAAAAGGGAGUCUUGUACAUCUAAAUGUAUUAAUCCUAGGCCGUUGUGAUGAGCUAACUGCAAUACCCCAAGGCAUCGAGAACCUCACAGAGCUCAACAACCUUGAGCUUUUUGAAAUGCCAAGUGAGAUAAUACAAAAGAUUCAAGAUGGGGAAACAUUAGAGGGGAAUUAUGAAGAUUCUCAGCGCACUACAACUGUUAAGAACAUCCACUGGUAUAAUGGACGAUUGUUGCAGAAAACAAUUUACACCAACCUAUUCACUGUUCAAAUGUAG